UACGUAGGGACCAAGCGUUGUUCGGAUUUACUGGGCGUAAGGGCGCGUAGGCGGCGCGGUAAGUCACUUGUGAAAUCUCUGAGCUUAACUCAGAACGGCCAAGUGAUACUGCAGUGCUAGAGUGUGGAAGGGGCAAUCGGAAUUCUUGGUGUAGCGGUGAAAUGCGUAGAUAUCAAGAGGAACACCUGAGGUGAAGACGGGUUGCUGGGCCAACACUGACGCUGAGGCGCGAAAGCCAGGGGAGCAAACGGG
rnacentral:rRNA from 1 species